rnacentral:rRNA from 1 species
GACGUAGGGGGCCAGCGUUGUUCGGAAUUACUGGGUGUAAAGGGUUCGUAGGCGGUGCGGCAAGUCGGGAGUGAAAUCUCUGGGCUUAACCCAGAGGCUGCUUCCGAAACUGCUGUGCUUGAGUGUGGGAGAGGCGCGUGGAAUUGCAGGUGUAGCGGUGAAAUGCGUAGAUAUCUGCAGGAACACCCGUGGCGAAAGCGGCGCGCUGGACCACUACUGACGCUGAGGAACGAAAGCGUGGGGAGCAAACAGG